GGGGUCGUUUUGGAUUCGACUUCGGAAGGUAGGACGUAGGAGCACGCCGAGCACGUAGAUCACUCGUAAAAAUGUCUGCAAACAGAUAGUCGCAAACGACGAAUCUUUCGCACUCGCCGCUUAAGGCGGUGCCGUUGAAGCCAGCAAGUUGCUCAUUCUUGGGUUUUUCAACGUCAGAUAAUUGAGAUAGGCAGACGCUUCGCUGGGGGAGCCAAGCCGAAAAAUUUCCCAGCACCCCUGAACGGAGCCUGUCGACCGGCGCCAGCAAGGGUACUAAAAGAUCGACUACGCGUUGUAGAACCAAAAUCCGAUAGCUGAAACACGGGGGUUCGACUCCCCCCGACUCCACCA
rnacentral:tmRNA from 1 species